rnacentral:rRNA from 1 species
AGUGAACGCUGGCGGUAGGCCUAACACAUGCAAGUCGAACGGCAGCACAGUAAGAGCUUGCUCUUACGGGUGGCGAGUGGCGGACGGGUGAGGAAUACAUCGGAAUCUACUUUUUCGUGGGGGUUAAGGUAGGGAAACUUACGCUAAUACCGCAUACGACCUACGGUUGAAAGCAGGGGAUCUUCGGACUUUGCGCGAUUGAUUGAGCCGAUGUCGGAUUAGCUAGUUGGCGGGGUAAAGGCCCACCAAGGCGACGAUCCGUAGCUGGUCUGAGAGGAUGAUCAGCCACACUGGAACUGAGACACGGUCCAGACUCCUACGGGAGGCAGCAGUGGGGAAUAUUGGACAAUGGGCGCAAGCCUGAUCCAGCCAUACCGCGUGGGUGAAGAAGGCCUUCGGGUUGUAAAGCCCUUUUGUUGGGAAAGAAAAGCAGCAGGUUAAUACCCCGCUGUUCUGACGGUACCCAAAGAAUAAGCACCGGCUAACUUCGUG